rnacentral:antisense_RNA from 1 species
UUUUAUGGUGGCCGUGCGCAGGGCGUUCUCGAGCGCGCCGGGUUCCGGAUACACCGGUCUACUAACCUGCGUACGGCUACCACCUUA